rnacentral:rRNA from 1 species
AUACGGGGGGUGCAAGCGUUAUUCGGAUUUAUUGGGCGUAAAGGGCGCGUAGGCGGCUUGGAAAGUCAGAUGUGAAAGCCCGGGGCUCAACCCCGGAAGUGCAUUUGAAACUAUCAGGCUUGAGUAUGGGAGAGGGAAGUGGAAUUCCUGGUGUAGAGGUGAAAUUCGUAGAUAUCAGGAGGAACACCGGUGGCGAAGGCGACUUCCUGGACCAAUACUGACGCUGAGGUGCGAAGGCGUGGGUAGCGAACAGGAUUAGAAACCCGGGUAGUCC